AACGAACGCUGGCGGCAGGCUUAACACAUGCAAGUCGAGCGCCCCGCAAGGGGAGCGGCAGACGGGUGAGUAACGCGUGGGAAUCUACCCAUCUCUACGGAAUAACGCAUGGAAACGUGUGCUAAUACCGUAUACGUCCUUCGGGAGAAAGAUUUAUCGGAGAUGGAUGAGCCCGCGUUGGAUUAGCUAGUUGGUGGGGUAAAGGCCUACCAAGGCGACGAUCCAUAGCUGGUCUGAGAGGAUGAUCAGCCACACUGGGACUGAGACACGGCCCAGACUCCUACGGGAGGCAGCAGUGGGGAAUAUUGGACAAUGGGCGCAAGCCUGAUCCAGCCAUGCCGCGUGAGUGAUGAAGGCCCUAGGGUUGCAAAGCUCUUUCACCGAUGAAGUUAAUGACGGUAACCGGAGAAGAAGCCCCGGCUAACUUCGUGCCAGCCGCCGCAGUAACAC
rnacentral:rRNA from 1 species